rnacentral:rRNA from 1 species
UGUUGGGUUAAGUCCCGCAACGAGCGCAACCCUUAUCCUUAUUUGCCAGCACGUAAUGGUGGGAACUCUAGGGAGACUGCCGGUGAUAAACCGGAGGAAGGUGGGGACGACGUCAAGUCAUCAUGGCCCUUACGAGUUGGGCUACACACGUGCUACAAUGGCAAGUACAGAGGGUUGCUANCCCGCGAGGUGGAGCUAAUCCCACAAAGCUUGUCGUACUCCGGAUUGGAGUCUGCAACUCGACUCCAUGAAGUCGGAAUCGCUAGUAAUCGUACAUCACAAUGCCUCGGUGAAUACGUUCCCGGGCCUUGCACACACCGCCCGU